CUCUGUCUGUCUCUCUCUCUCAAGGAUAAAUAAACAUUAAAAAAAAAUUUUUUUUUUAAAGAUGAUGCAGGUGGAAAGGAUGCUCCAGUAGCUCCUUUGCAGGAAUACUACCCAAUCCAAAGUUCUGAUUUUUGGAAGGGGGUGGAUGGUGACAACGGGGAAUGAUUGUCAGAAGAAGUGAUGUCUGUGCUGAGACGCGAAUAAUAAACUAGAAGUUAGCCAGGUCAAAGUUUGGGGAAGGGAGACAAAUCGGGUAUUCUUGGCAGAAGAGACAGUAUGAGUCUAGGCACCGAGGCAAGAAAAAACACAGUUCUGUUAAAGAAUUGGAAGAAGUUCAGUCUCUUUGGAGUACUCUCUAAGAAGAAUGUGUCAAGAGUCUACAGAGGUGGUCACAUUCAGAGCUAAGCCCCUUUAUGUUUGGGACUUUAUUCUAGGCGGGGUCUAUAGCAGGGGAUUGACAUCACAAAGACCCCUCUGGCUUCAUAGUCAAGCAUGGACUGGCUGGGGGAGCAGUCAGAGGGUUACUGCAGAAAUUGAGGUGAGAAAUCAUCUUGGCCUCUGCUAGAGUAGGACAGAAGCCCUAAAGAGAAGUUGGAUGAAUUGGAGAGACCAUGGAGAAAUCGCUCACUGCGUCCAGAAUGGCAAUUGCACAGAUGCUGGUUGUGUCACUCUUGAAGGCUUAACUGAAGAAUGUUGAAUGAAGGAACCAUUUACAGAAGAGCAGGCUGUGUUAGAAGAACCAGCAAUGGAUGGAGAAGCACCCAGGUCUUAGCAACUGGGAAGCUGCUUCCACCCCAGGGACCGAGGAGAAGAGAAAGUUUCUGUGAGCUGGUCUCCUGUUCUUGCUUCUGAGUGGUUGCUGACAACUGGAAGGCAGAGUCUAGGGAGCCUGAGUGAUGUGCUUAGUACAUCGAGUUUUACUCUUGGAGCACAGAGCAAGGCAGAGAAGGGCAGAGAAUGAAUCUGGAGAAAGCAGAGACAAAAAAUAAAAUCGCAAAAAGUGUA